rnacentral:rRNA from 1 species
GAAUAUUGCACAAUGGGCGCAAGCCUGAUGCAGCAACGCCGCGUGAGGGAUGACGGCCUUCGGGUUGUAAACCUCUUUUGUCAGGGAAGAAGCCUUUGGGUGACGGUACCUGGAGAAAAAGCACCGGCUCACUACGUGCCAGCAGCCGCGGUAAUACGGAGGGCGCAAGAGUUGUCCGGAAGUAUGGGGCGUAAAGUGCUCGUAGGCGGGUUGUCGCGUCUGCUGUGAAAACCCGAGGCUCAACCUCGGGCCUGCAGUGGGUACGGGCAGGCUAGAGUGCGGUAGGGGAGAUGGGAAUUCCUGGUGUAGCGGUGGAAUGCGCAGAUAUCAGGAGGAACACCGAUGGCGAAGGCAGAUCUCUGGGCCGCUACUGACGCUGAGGAGCGAAAGCAUGGGGAGCGAACAG